GGCCCUGUAGCUCAGACGGAUAGAGCGGCGGACUCCUAAGCCGAAGGUCGCAGGUUCGACUCCUGCCGGGGCCACCA
rnacentral:tRNA from 1 species